UACAGAGGGGGCAAGCGUUGUUCGGAAUUACUGGGCGUAAAGGGCGCGUAGGCGGCUUGGUCAGUCCCGUGUGAAAUCCCUCGGCUCAACUGAGGAACUGCACGGGAAACUGCCUGGCUUGAGUUCGGGAGAGGGAAGCGGAAUUCCGGGUGGUAGCGGUGAAAUGCGUAGAUAUCAGGAGGAACACCGGUGGCGAAGGCGGGUCUCUGGGCAGUAACUGACGCUGAGGAGCGAAAGCGUGGGGAGCGAACAGG
rnacentral:rRNA from 1 species